UGGGGAAUAUUGGGCAAUGGAGGCAACUCUGACCCAGCAACGCCGCGUGAGCGAUGAAGGUCUUCGGAUUGUAAAGCUCUUUAAGCGGGGACGAAGAAAGUGACUGUACCCGCAGAAUAAGCCUCGGCUAACUACGUGCCAGCAGCCGCGGUAAUACGUAGGAGGCAAGCGUUAUCCGGAAUGACUGGGCGUAAAGGGUGCGUAGGUGGUUUGGCAAGUUGGUAGCGUAAUCCCGGGGCUCAACCUCGGUGCUACUACCAAAACUGUUGAACUUGAGUGCAGGAGGGGUGAAUGGAAUUCCCAGUGUAGCGGUGGAAUGCGUAGAUAUUGGGAAGAACACCAGCGGCGAAGGCGAUUCACUGGACUGUAACUGACACUGAGGCACGAAAGCGUGGGGAGCAAACAGG
rnacentral:rRNA from 1 species